rnacentral:rRNA from 1 species
AAAUUGAAGAGUUUGAUCAUGGCUCAGAUUGAACGCUGGCGGCAGGCCUAACUCAUGC